UCAUGGUGGUCAAAUGGUUCCACAAGUUGAGAUCCAUUUCGCUCAAAGGAAAGCCUCACUUCGCCAACUUCAAUUUGGUUAUGCCUGCCUUGGAUCGAAUAUGGCUGUUGCCUGUCCGUGGCUAGAGGAGAUCAAUCAGGCUCAAGAGGAUGGUCAUAAGGGACGAGAGCUUGGAGCUAAUUUCUAAAAAGUUCAAUCACUUCCAAGUCUCGGCGUUAUCCUCGUGAUUGCAGCCAGGUUUAGGCUCUUGAAUUGAAUGAUCAUGGAUUCCCUCGCAUAUUUAUGUUCUAUGUGGUGACUUCUUCCUCAGUCAGUAGUAUGAUGUUUUAUCCAUUUACGUUUUGGAUUUUCUGGAGCUUUUACCAAUCUCAUUGAUAGGAUUUAAAUUUGCUUAAAUGUAUUGGAAGAUAAAAAAUGUUCCCCGCCUCCCCUCUCUAAUUCAUCAAAGGAGAUACUAUGGUUCAUCGUAUAGCAUAGAAACUAACAGAGAACCUAUUUCUAUCUGUAGGCUAAGCUCUACUAUUGGUGGAUGUUCCAAGGGAAACAAACAUAACUGAUAUUGUAAGGAAUCAAAAUGCAAGGGAGGGUCUAAAUGGGGCAAGAGCAUACUCAAGUCCAUGGGUGAAACCACAUCUUAACCAAGUUUAUGAUGUGGCAUACGGAAUAAAAUGGGAAUAGAGAUUUGAUGUUUGUGGCAUGUCUUUGAUAUUAGGAGUUUGCGAACUCACACUUCACCAAUUUAUUCUCUCUCCCUAUUUUUAGGUGGUUGCUCCUCAUUCCUUACAAGUGAUAUUAGAGUCAAGUGUUUUGUUUGGGACUUGAAAGCUUGUAUUGUGCACACGUUAAAAGUCCAAAAUGGGAUUUAUAUGUAUCACAUUGUUUGAAGCCUAAAAAAAUUAGGUUAGCCUUGAUUACACAUGAACAUAAACUUGGUGU